rnacentral:rRNA from 1 species
AUUGAACGCUGGCGGCAGGCCUAACACAUGCAAGUCGAGCGGAUGAAGGGAGCUUGCUCCUGGAUUCAGCGGCGGACGGGUGAGUAAUGCCUAGGAAUCUGCCUGGUCGUGGGGGUUACCGUCCGGAAACGGGCGCAAUUACCCCUUACGUCUUGAGGGCGAAUGUGGGGGAUCUUCGGAUUCCACCCUUUCAGAUGAACCGAGGUCGGCUUUGCUAGUUGGUGGGGUAAAGGCCUACCAAGGCCACGAUCCGUAACUGGUCUGUGAGGAUGAUCAGUCACACUGGAACGGAAACACGGUCCAGACUCCUACGGGAGGCAGCAGUGGGGAAUAUUGGACAAUGGGCGAAAGCCUGAUCCAGCCAUGCCGCGUGGGUGAAAAAAGUCUUCGGAUUGUAAAGCACUUUUGGUUGGGAGGAAGGGCAGUAAGUUAAUACCUUGCUGGUUUGACGUUACCAACAGAAUAAGCACCGGCUAACUUCGUG